rnacentral:rRNA from 1 species
UACUCCUACGGGAGGCAGCAGUGGGGAAUCUUGGACAAUGGGGGCAACCCUGAUCCAGCCAUGCCGCGUGAGUGAUGAAGGCCCUAGGGUCGUAAAGCUCUUUCGCCUGUGAAGAUAAUGACGUAGCAGUAAGAGUCAUUCC